UACGUAGGAUGCAAGCGUUGUCCGGAUUUACUGGGCGUAAAGUGUGCGCAGGUGGCCGCGCAAGUCGAGUGUGAAAUCCCCGAGCUUAACUUGGGAAUUGCGCUCGAAACUACGUGGCUCGAGUGUGGCAGAGGAAGGUGGAAUUCCACGUGUAGCGGUGAAAUGCGUAGAGAUGUGGAGGAACACCGGUGGCGAAGGCGCUCCGCUAGGCCGCAACUGACACUGAGGGACGAAAGCUAGGGGAGCGAAUGGG
rnacentral:rRNA from 1 species